rnacentral:rRNA from 1 species
GAAGCUAAAGGAUUUAUUCACUUCCCGAGGGGCUCGCGGCCCAUCAGCUUGUUGGUGAGGGUAACGGCCCACCAAGGCGACAACGGGUAGCUGGUCUGAGAGGAUGGUCAGCCACACUGGAACUGAGACACGGUCCAGACACCUACGGGUGGCAGCAGUCGAGAAUCAUUCGCAAUGGGGGAAACCCUGACGAUGCGACGCCGCGUGGAGGAUGAAGGCCUUAGGGUUGUAAACUCCUGUCAAGAGGGAAUAAGCAAGUGAAGGUACCUCUAGAGGAAGGGGCGGCUAAUUCCGUGCCAGCAGCCGCGGUAACACGGAAGCCCCGAGCGUUGUUCGGAUUCAUUGGGCGUAAAGGGUGCGUAGGCGGCGCGGAAAGUCCGGCGUGAAAGGCAGGGGCUCAACCUCUGGACUGCGUUGGAUACUUCCGUGCUUGAGGACUGGAGGGGAGACUGGAAUUCACGGUGUAGCAGUGAAAUGCGUAGAUAUCGUGAGGAAGACCGGUGGCGAAGGCGAGUCUCUGGACAGAUCCUGACGCUGAGGCACGAAGGCUGGGGGAGCGAACAGGAUUAGAUACCCUGGUAGUCCCAGCAGUAAACGAUGUGAGCUUGAUGUGGGGGGAUUCGACCCCUUCCGUGUCGAAGCUAACGCGAUAAGCUCACCGCCUGAGGAGUACGGCCGCAAGGCUAAAACUCAAAGAAAUUGACGGGGACCCGCACAAGCGGUGGAGUAUGUGGCUUAAUUCGAUGCAACGCGAAGAACCUUACCUGGCCUUGACAUGCAUUGUGUCGUCGGUGAAAGCCGGCUAGUCCUGGAAACAGGACGCUUUGCACAGGUGCUGCAUGGCUGUCGUCAGCUCGUGUCGUGAGAUGUUGGGUUAAGUCCCGCAACGAGCGCAACCCUUGUGGUCAGUUACUAACCGGCUUAGCCGGAGGACUCUGGCCAGACUGCCCUGUCAAACGGGGAGGAAGGUGGGGACGACGUCAAGUCAGUAUGGCCCUUAUGGCCAGGGCUGCACACGUACUACAAUGCCCGGUACAAUGUGAACCGAAACCGCGAGGUGGAGGAAAUCGCUCUUGAAAACCGGGCCCAGUUCGGAUUGGAGUCUGUAACUCGACUCCAUGAAGUCGGAAUCG